rnacentral:misc_RNA from 1 species
UCAUACUCAAUCUAGCAGCAGCAAUGUGCCAUCUAAUCAUACAGAUCAUGGCCAUGUUAAUCUGCAUAUGGAACCCUCCUGUUUUAAGCAAUAUGAAGCUCUUAGAAAUGGACAGGUGGUGCCAAUGCUUGAUGCUAGACUUGCAAAAGCUGUAGCCUCACAGUUCUCUCUUGGAAAGCCUUCUCAAAAUAUUCUUAGCUCUUUGGAGCAGUUAGAUGCUGCUGAUGCUGGUCAGGG